AAACUUACUUGGCGCCGGGACCAGGGUGAUCACGGACGCCCUGGCCCCAGGUGGAGGCUCGCCCUUGCACUCUGGCGGGUUGAAGCAUGCGACGUUCCCUAAUCGGGCUCGCUCGGGCGCGUAGUUUUUGCUAGGGGGGAGGUCUUCGGACCAUCCCUU
rnacentral:snRNA from 1 species